GAAGGUAUUAGCUCAGUGGUAGAGCAGGUGCUUAGCAUGCACAAGGUCCUGGGUUCAAUCCCUAGAACUUCU
rnacentral:tRNA from 1 species